GAUGAACGCUGGCGGCGUGCCUAAUACAUGCAAGUCGAGCGAACUGAUUAGAAGCUUGCUUCUAUGACGUUAGCGGCGGACGGGUGAGUAACACGUGGGCAACCUGCCUGUAAGACUGGGAUAACUUCGGGAAACCGAAGCUAAUACCGGAUAGGAUCUUCUCCUUCAUGGGAGAUGAUUGGAAGAUGGUUUCGGCUAUCACUUACAGAUGGGCCCGCGGUGCAUUAGCUAGUUGGUGAGGUAACGGCUCACCAAGGCAACGAUGCAUAGCCGACCUGAGAGGGUGAUCGGCCACACUGGGACUGAGUCACGGCCCAGACUCCUCCGGGAGGCAGCAGUAGGGAAUCUUCCGCAAUGGACGAAGGUCUGACGGAGCAACGCCGCGUGAGUGAUGAAGUCUUUCGGGUCGUAAAACUCUGUUGUUAGGGAAGAACAAGUACAAGAGUAACUGCUUGUACCUUGACGGUACCUAACCAGAAAGCCACGGCUAACUACGUGCCAGCAGCCGCCGUAA
rnacentral:rRNA from 1 species